UCCUGAAGGUUAGUCUGCGAUGGUGGAGU
rnacentral:piRNA from 1 species